rnacentral:rRNA from 1 species
GACGAACGCUGGCGGCGCGCCUAACACAUGCAAGUCGAACGGAGCUGAGAGAAGCUUGCUUUUCUUAGCUUAGUGGCGAACGGGUGAGUAACGCGUGAGUAACCUGCCCUGGAGUGGGGGACAACAGUUGGAAACGACUGCUAAUACCGCAUAAGCCCACGAUCCGGCAUCGGAUUGAGGGAAAAGGAUUUAUUCGCUUCAGGAUGGACUCGCGUCCAAUUAGCUAGUUGGUGAGGUAACGGCCCACCAAGGCGAGGAUUGGUAGCCGGACUGAGAGGUGGGCCGGCCACAUUGGGACUGAGACACGGCCCAGACUCCUACGGGAGGCAGCAGUGGGGGAUAUUGCCCAAUGGGGGAAACCCUGAUGCAGCGCCGCCGCGUGGAGGAAGAAGGUUUUCGGAUUGUAAACUCCUGUCGUUAGGGACGAUAAUGACGGUACCUAACAAGAAAGCACCGGCUAACUACGUG